GCCCGGGUGGCGGAAUGGCAGACGCGAUGGACUCAAAAUCCAUUGUCCGCAAGGGCGUGCGGGUUCGAGUCCCGCCCCGGGCA
rnacentral:tRNA from 1 species